CUUUGUUUAGAACGUGAGGAAGCGGGACAAUGUGGAGACAUCUCACCUCACUUCGCUUUUUCAAGGCUUGCAGCAGUCCGUUUCUCUCGCUCUGUAUCAUUAGGCUGUCUGCGGUAAAUUUGGAGUGGAAUAACUCGUCUUCAGGAAUCACGAUCAACAAAAGAGUGUCUGCUUGCCAACGUUAGAAACUGCUGAGACGAUCCACAGACAGAUCCACAGACAGAUCCACAGGGUGAUGUGACAGCGACGACCACCUGUUCUCACUAAUAACGAUGAAGAUGAGGGUCCUGGGGCCAGAGAGGUUCGGUGUUCUGCUGGGUGUGUCCCUCCAACUGCUGCUGUUGCUACCAGACACCUCUUCUACCGCUGCAACCUGGAGCCAGAGUGGACCCCGCCUGCAGCUCUCACACACAGAGUUGCAUUGGAGGAACAGUUCCAGUGUGUUCUGGGACAGAGGUGUGAGUGGGGGUUACCAGGCCCUGCUGCUGGAUGAGGACCGUGGCUGGCUGCUGGUGGGAGGAAGAGACCACGUCUACCUGCUGCACUCUAACAGUCUGGAUCUUCCUACACGCACGAUCUACUGGCCAGCUGCGACAGAACACGUUGAACACUGCAGGCUGGCAGGAAAGAACCUU